ACAGUUAUUUAAACACCAAUAAAAAUCACUGAAGGAAGUGAGAUCAUCAAAGCUCCCCCUAUAUAAGCAUGCACCCAUCUCCCAUGCUUCAUUGCAUGACUACUGGCUCACUGCUGAUCACUAUUUGGAAGGUAUCAUACCCAUAGGAUACCAUAAGGACUCUGUAUAUAUUUCUGCAUUUUUCACCCUUAUUUGACCUUCGAGGUCUUCCAUGUGUGCAUGAAGUUGCUGAUUCCCCCUUUUCAUACAAAUGCUUCUAUUUUGAGCUCUAUGUAAUCUGAGUUACCAGAUUCACGAGGCUGAAUUCAUGCUCUUAUCUCACGCCUCAUUGAUGGUUUGAAGCCCCGUAUGAACCUAUUCGACCAAAGGUCUAGGCUUGUUACUCUCUUGGAUAGACAUUAUUAUCUAAGACGCACCCGUGAUGAAGUCUAGUUCCUAGACGAAACACGUUGGGUUACCAUAUUUCUUGUUGAUGUUAUCUCCGAAUAUUUAAUGAGGAAGAAUAAGGAUACAAUAGAAAGUUGCCUUCAUUCCUCUAUAUCCCUUUGAUGGAUCUCUGUAGGAGAAAUUACAUUGUAUUGUUUAUGUAAUAAUGAUGGACACACUCCAUGUUUCUGUAUAAUUGUUUUAAUAAAUUUUUAUGAAAUGAACAGUCCGUUAUAUGUUUCAAAAACUUGUAUAAAUAUUGAUUGUGAAACCUGUUAAGGAACAGUCUUUGUAUAAGGGUACUUGUAAAUCCCUGGGCGUCAUUUUUCCUCUGUUUCAAGGAACCAGGCAGCCUAUCUUAGAGAUAAUUCAAUCUAAUUGCCUAUUCUGAAACCAAAUAGCGCAGGAGGAGUGUGUUA